GAGAGUAAGUUGAUAACAGGAGAAGAAUAAGUAAGUUUUGCAUAAUGCCCAGAUGGUUGCUCAUUGUUAUUAUUUUUGUUUUUGUUUUUGUUUUUGUUUUUGUUUU
rnacentral:ribozyme from 1 species